rnacentral:lncRNA from 1 species
UUAAAAAUGUGAGAAAGAUUGAUAUGGGAGAGAGACACGUGGAGAUGGGCAAAGGACACGUGGACGGUGAUAAGGAAAGCAAAGAAGGAAGAAAAAGCAUGAGGCACCGAAAACCAAAUACUCUUUUAAAGGAUUUCCAACUGUGAGAGAAGGCAUGAUUUGGGUAAUAUUCUUCCUCCUGAAAAUUCUUCUUCUGAUAACUUCUCCGCUUCGUCACUCUGCAUUCUUAUCUCUGUCAUAUUCUGAUUCAGGUGAAUUCUGGACUGCACGUGGCUGGGAGGAUUGCUGAUUAGUGGCAAUUUUUUUAUGCUUUUAUUAUUUCAUACAGAAACUUAUUCAUAAACCUUGUUUUGUAUUGUGUUGGCCACUGAUAUAAAUACAUAGUGAAUAUAUACUGUUUCAUUGGUGCUUUCAUUGUCAUCAAUGGCGGACAACAACGAACGUACGCGGCUUCAAACUAUGCAGAGUCAAAUUAAUACUCUGACAUCGUGGAUGGAAGAACAACGCAAAAAUCAACAAGAAUAUCACGACCGCUUUGAGAAACUACAGAAAACGAUGGAGCUGUUACUGCGGAAUCAGGGUUGCGCCGUCGGUGGUACGAACUCAGAUGGAGGCACUCCGAACUCUUCGGUUACUUCUAUUCCUUCUUCUGUUCGAGACAUUUCUCUGGGUUUUCCACAUUUUGAUGGUCAUACUCCAGUUUUGGAGUGGAUUUUUAAAGCUGAGAAGUUCUUCAACUAUCAUCAUACGCCUGAUGAGGAUCGAGUAGAAAUUGCUGCUAUUCAUUUUGAGAAAGACGUCAUUCCGUGGUUCCAAAUGCUUCAACGCAUGGAAUCGAUGCAUUCUUGGUCCGAUCUUACUCGUGCCUUGGAAUCUCAGUUUGGACCCUCUCCUUUUGAUUGUCCUAUGGGUGAAUUGUUUAAACUCCAGCAAAUUGGUUCUGUCUCAGAGUAUUACUUGAAAUUCACAGGUUUAGCUAACAGAUCAGAUGGACUUUCGAAUGCGGCUAUUUUAAAUUGUUUUGUGAGUGGGUUGAAUCCUGAUAUUCGGAGGGAUGUCGUGGCACAGAGUCCUACAACCUUGCUUAGAGCCGUGUCAUUGGCUAAAUUGUAUGAGGAAAAAUAUGUACCCAAAGUUAUCUCUCGUCCUACCAAUUAUGUUCAAAAAUAUACUUCCCUUCAUGCUACUGCUUCUCCUUCCAUUUCAGUAUCUGCUACUGCUGUUAGACAUAAUAAUAAGUCCCCUUUGCCGCCCUUAUUACCCACUCCUACUACCCCUCCUAUUAAAAAUGGUGCUAUUAAAAAAAUUUCUCCUGCUGAAAUGCAAUUGAGACGUGAAAAAGGGUUGUGCUACUUUUGUGAUGAUAAGUUCACCUUUAACCACCGCUGCCCCAACCGCCAAAUGCUCAUGUUACAAUUUGAUGAAGAAGACGUUGAAUCUGAGACCAUUUGUGAUGCUACUACUGGUGCUAGUAAUACUACCUCUGAUAGUGGCAUUGAGAGUCAUCCUCAUUUGUCUUUGAAUGCUUUGAAAGGUGGCCCUGGUGUGGGGACUAUCCGAUUUAUUGCCCAUAUUAACACAUUGCCAGUAACAGUAUUGGUUGAUGGAGGAAGUUCAGAUAAUUUUCUACAACCACGGGUGGCCAAUUUUUUGAAACUACCAGUGGAACCAGUUCCCUUGUUUAGAGUUAUGGUUGGCAAUGGCAGUUACAUGACUGUUGAAGGAAUGAUUAGAAAUCUGAAUAUUCAAGCUCAGGGCACCAAGUUUCAAUUACCUGUCAUUCUAUUACCUAUAUCAGGAGCUGAUCUCAUACUUGGAGCUAAUUGGUUAAAAACACUAGGAUCCCACAUUGCAGAUUAUGACUCAUUGCAACUUAAAUUCUUGCACAAUGGCCGGUUUAUAACCUUACAGGGCAAGAAAGAUCAUUCCCCCACUCAAGCCCAAUUACACCAUCUCAAACGAAUGGUUUUUACUCAUUCUAUUGCUGAAGCUUUCAGCAUGCAACUUCUGGAAUCUCCUAAUCUUCAAUCUCCAUUAGAUGAGUUGACAGCUGAGGUAGCACCUGAUUUGGCCUUGCUAUUGCAUAAGUAUCAAGCUGUCUUUGAGACACCUUCAUCACUUCCACCACCUCGAUCACAUGAUCAUGCUAUUCCUUUGAUUGAUGGAUCUAAGCCAGUUAAAGUCAAGCCAUAUAGAUAUCUGCACAGUCAGAAGGAUGAGAUUGAAAGACUAGUACAUGGUAUGCUGGAAGAUGGUAUCAUCCAACCUAGUAAGAGUCCAUUCUCUUCACCAAUAAUCUUGGUCAAAAAGAAGGAUGGAUCAUGGAGAGUAUGUACUGAUUAUAGAGCAUUAAAUGCUGUGACGGUGAAGGACACUUUUCCCAUCCCAACAGUUGAUGAAUUGAUUGAUGAGUUAUUUGGAGCCCAAAUUUUUUCUAAGUUGGACUUGAAAUCUGGGUAUCAUCAGAUUUUAUUAAAGCCGGAGGAUAGGUACAAAACAGCUUUCAGAACACAUCAUGGGCAUUAUGAAUGGUUGGUUAUGCCAUUUGGUCUCACUAAUGCUCCCGCCACAUUCCAAAGCCUUAUGAAUGAGAUUUUUAAAGGAGUCUUGAGGAAAUUUGUAUUGGUGUUUUUUGAUGAUAUUUUGGUGUAUAGUCCUACGUGGCAUGAUCAUUUAUGUCAUUUAGAGUUGGUGUUGCAAACUCUUCAACAACAGAAACUAUAUGUUCGGCUUUCUAAGUGCUCUUUUGGAGUUACUCAAAUUGAUUAUUUGGGCCAUGUUUUAUCUGGAGCAGGGGUUGCUAUGGAGACUUCAAAAUUGGAAGCUAUUAGUAAUUGGCCACAACCUACGUCUCUCAAACAAUUAAGAGGGUUUCUAGGCCUCACGGGUUACUAUAGACGAUUCAUUCGGAACUAUGCGUCUAUGGCGGGUCCACUCACUGAUUUGUUGAAGAAAAAUUCUUUUCAUUGGUCUGAAUUAGCUUCAAAAGCUUUUUUGCAACUCAAACAAGCUAUGACUUCAGCACCAGUAUUGGCUAUUCCUAAUUUCAAAGAACCUUUUAUUUUGGAGACAGAUGCUUCAGGUUCCGGUAUUGGAGCAGUUUUGAGUCAAGACCAUCACCCAGUGGCCUAUUUCUCCAAGAAACUCUCUCCUAGAAUGCAAAGACAAUCUACCUAUGCACGAGAAUUCUAUGCAAUUACAGAAGCACUGGCUAAAUUUCGGCAUUACUUGCUUGGCCAUAAAUUCAUCAUAAGGACAGACCAAAAGAGCCUUAAAGAAUUAUUAGAACAAACAUUGCAGACUCCCGAACAACAACAAUGGUUACCUAAAUUUUUAGGUUAUGACUUUACUAUUCAGUAUAAGCCUGGAAAAGAAAAUGUUGCUGCUGAUGCCUUAUCCAGGCGUUUGUUUAUGGCUUGGUCCGAACCUACCAGUAACUGGUUGAUCAAAGUUGCAGAGGAAACAAAGAAAGAUAGUACACUCCUUGAGUUACUUACUCAGCAUGCUCAAGGGGUUAAACUUGAUCCUACAUAUGAAAUUAAGGAUGGGUUGGUAUUUAGGAAAAGGAAGUUGAUGAUUCCCAAAGGCUCUUUCUUGAGACAACAAAUACUUCAGGAAUUUCAUGAUACCAAGACAGGGGGUCAUGCAGGAAGGACUAAAACUAUUGCGAGCAUUUGCACUCAGUUUUAUUGGCCUAAAAUGCAGGAGGAUAUUAAAAAUUACAUCAAAAAUUGUAGCAUUUGUCAGCAAGCUAAGAUUGAUCAGGCUUUGCCUGCUGGUUUAUUACAACCAUUACCGGUUCCUAAACAGAUUUGGGAGGACAUUGCCAUGGACUUCAUUACUAAUCUCCCUUCUUCUCAUGGCUAUGCUACAAUUAUGGUCGUGGUCGAUCGUCUAUCCAAAUUUGGUCACUUUAUUGCUUUGAAAGCUGAGUUUAACAACAAAAUGGUAGCAGAUGCAUUCAUCAACAAUGUUGGCAAGAUCCAUGGCUUUCCUAAAUCCAUUGUGUCAGAUCGAGACAGAGUUUUUAUUAGCUCUUUUUGGCAACAAUUGUUCAAAUCACAGGGCACCACCUUAGCUAUGAGUUCUUCUUAUCACCCACAAAGUGAUGGGCAGACUGAGGUCCUUAACAAGACUCUUGAGAUGUAUUUACGAUGCUUUGUUUAUGAGAAUCCGAGGUCGUGGUAUCCAAUGUUAUCUUGGGCACAAUAUUGGUAUAAUUCCUCCUUUCAUCAUAGUAUUGCAAUGAGCCCUUUCAAGGCUGUCUUUGGUAGAGAAGCUCCUUCUGUCAAUCCUUAUCAGAUUCAAGCUAAGGAUCCUGCAUCUCUGCAAGAAACCUUAAUCCAGAGAGACAAACUUCUGCAGCAUCUUAAGGAUAAUUUAUUCAAAGCCCAGAAUUAUAUGAAGCUCCAAGCUGAUAAGAAGAGGAGAGACGUUCAACUAACAGUGGGUGAUUUAGCAUUGGUGAAAUUACAACCUUAUCGCCAACAUUCUCUUGCCCUUCGAAAGAACCAGAAGCUGGGCAUGCGUUUUUUCGGCCCUUUUAAGGUGGUACAGCGUAUUGGUCCGGUGGCUUAUAAGUUGGAAUUACCGGAAUCGGCUCGUAUACAUUCCGUUUUCCAUAUUUCAUUGCUCAAGAAGUUUUACGGCAACCAACAGCAACAAUACUUUCCAUUACCUCUUACCACAACUGAGAUUGGUCCUAUGGUUCAGCCUCAUCAGGUUCUGGAUGCCAGAACCAUCCUACGACAUGGUAUAGAAGUGCAACAAGUGUUGAUUCAAUGGGAAUUAUCAGAACCUCAGGAAGCUACUUGGGAAGAUUACAUCUUCAUUAAAGAACAUUAUCCUCAGUUCAACCUUGAGGACAAGGUUGAUUUCGAAGGGAAGGGUAAUGUAACGGUUAAAAAUGUGAGAAAGAUUGAUAUGGGAGAGAGACACGUGGAGAUGGGCAAAGGACACGUGGACGGUGAUAAGGAAAGCAAAGAAAACAUGAGAUAAAUUAAUCUUUAUUUUGAGAGGUAAUUCAAUGUUGUUAAUCUUUGUCUUUAGAAUUGAUUUCCAAUUCAUUCCUUUGACUAGACUGUUAAUUAUUUGUUAAUAAUUGGUUAUUAUUUUACUCACUCAUACUGUAACAGUUAAAAAUGUGAGAAAGAUUGAUAUGGGAGAGAGACACGUGGAGAUGGGCAAAGGACACGUGGACGGUGAUAAGGAAAGCAAAGAAGGAAGAAAAAGCAUGAGGCACCGAAAACCAAAUACUCUUUUAAAGGAUUUCCAACUGUGAGAUGGACUGCACGUGGCUGGGAGGAUUGCUGAUUAGUGGCAAUUUUUUUAUGCUUUUAUUAUUUCAUACAGAAACUUAUUCAUAAACCUUGUUNUGUAUUGUGUUGGCCACUGAUAUAAAUACAUAGUGAAUAUAUACUGUUUCACAUACAUUUUAAUCUGAACUUGGUUUUUGUUGCUUGCUUUAUAUUCUUAUUCCCCUUGUUUUAUAUUUUUUGUGAAUUUAUUUUAGUUUGACUCUAAGUAAUUUUUUCUUGAUAGGAGUACUCAUCCUUCCACAUAUUCAAUUGAAUGAUUGGUUUGGAGAGCCUGCAUCUUAAUACGUUAG